UCGGGAAUUUUGGGCAAUGGGGGAAACCCUGACCCAGCAACGCCGCGUGAAGGAUGAAGUAUUUCGGUAUGUAAACUUCGAAAGAAUAGGAAGAAUAAAUGACGGUACUAUUUAUAAGGUCCGGCUAACUACGUGCCAGCAGCCGCGGUAAUACGUAGGGACCAAGCGUUGUUCGGAUUUACUGGGCGUAAAGGGCGCGUAGGCGGCAUGACAAGUCACUUGUGAAAUCUCUGGGCUUAACCCAGAACGGCCAAGUGAUACUGUCGCGCUAGAGUGCAGAAGGGGCAAUCGGAAUUCUUGGUGUAGCGGUGAAAUGCGUAGAUAUCAAGAGGAACACCUGAGGUGAAGACGGGUUGCUGGGCUGACACUGACGCUGAGGCGCGAAAGCCAGGGGAGCAAACGGGAUUAGAUACCCCAGUAGUCCCUGAGCGGGC
rnacentral:rRNA from 1 species